UACGUAGGGUGCAAGCGUUGUUCGGAAUUAUUGGGCGUAAAGGGCUCGUAGGCGGUUCUUCGCGUCGGGAGUGAAAAGCUGGGGCUCAACCCCAGUCCUGCUUUCGAUACGGGCAGACUAGAGUGCGGUAGGGGAGACUGGAAUUCCUGGUGUAGCGGUGAAAUGCGCAGAUAUCAGGAGGAACACCGGUGGCGAAGGCGGGUCUCUGGGCCAUAACUGACGCUGAGGAGCGAAAGCGUGGGGAGCAAACAGG
rnacentral:rRNA from 1 species